rnacentral:rRNA from 1 species
UACGUAGGGUCCAAGCGUUAUCCGGAAUCACUGGGCGUAAAGCGUGCGUAGGUGGAUUGUUAAGUGCGGUGCGAGAUCCUAUGGCUCAACCAUAUGGACUGUAUCGCAUACUGGCUAUCUAGAGGACAUGAGAGGCAAGUGGAAUUACCGGUGUAGCAGUGAAAUGCGUAGAUAUCGGUAGGAACACCAAUGGCGAAGGCAGCUUGCUGGCAUGUAUCUGACGCUAAGGCACGAAAGCGUGGGGAGCGAACAGG